UUUAGAAAAAUAAAAAAAAUUAAAAAUAAAUAGUGCACAUCAGCACAGGUAUGAAGUAUGAACCCUACGCUUAAGUAGAGUUGUGCAGUCCUGGAGGGAGAAAAGCUGGUUCCAUGCCCUCACCUUCCAUGAAUGGUCUGUACAUGACCUCCUCAGAUCCAAACAAAAAGGAACACUUGGGGAUCCCCAUCCAGGAGAUGUGGCCCUCUCGAGGCCGUGUUGGUUGGCUGGCACUGUGGAUCCUUUUCUGGGCUUCACUGGGACUUCCUGAAGGGAGGCCAAAGCAGCAGGUAGCUCGCUCUUCUCUUCCAUUUCCCAGCUUUAGGAACAGGAAAAUCCCCACUGGUCACAAAAAAGGCUGGAAAACCCCUGGUCUGGAUAAAUUUAAGGGCAUUCAUUUCAAUCUUCUGAUUCAGUUUUACAUACCACAUAACUCUCAAUACAGGUGACAUUUUGGUUAGAGAAGAGAGGGAGAGAAAAGGGAAAGAAAUACAGAAAUAUUAAUAAAGACAUCAGAGAGAUAAAAACAAAAUGACUUUGCUCCAUGGUUCUGUCUCCCCUUUCUCUUAUCUCCCUUCUUCUGUGGGAAGCAGCACUCUAAGAUGUUCCCCAAAUUCCUGGCCCCUGGUGUAAACACAUAUUUUCCUAGUUAGUCAAUGAAACACCAAUCUAGGUAUUGCUGUGAGGGGAUUUUGCAGAUGUAAUUAAUCCCAAAUCAGUUGACUUUAAGGUAGGGAGAUUAAUAGGUUGGCCCGACCUCAGCGUCUGGAAGUCAGAAAGAGAGAAGUCAGAAGAAAUGGAGGCAUGACAGACGACCUGAGCCGAAGGCAGACGUUCAACCGAUGAGCCACCCAGGUGCCCCAGUCUCUGUCUCUUUCUGUAUCUCAUCUGUGUUUUUGUCAAUAACCCUUGCCUGGAAGAUCAGAAGUUUUACAAUUAGUUAAUCCCUAAAUUUGUUACCUUUUCGGAAAUUGGUUUAAAAAGCUUAAAAUCCACAUUGUUAUUUUGCGACUUUAGUUAUGAUUUUGGGGGCCUCCAAUUUUGCCUUGAUAUUAGGAGGACAUAAAACCAAAUUCCUCUCUCCAUUCUUAUUUUAGCUCUCCUUCCUGUCCACUAAAUAGCCCUUAAUGGCAAAUUUAUCAAAGUCUAGGAUAAUUUGAUUUGGCUACUCAGUGGGACACAGCAUAUUAUUUCAGCUACUGUGGAAAAGGACAAGUGGCCAUGAAAUGAGGGAAAGUGGCCUGUUUCCAGUGGCUAGCAAACCACAGAGAGGAAGUGCUACUUACUUUUACAAGCCACUUUGUAGGAACGCUUUUAUGUGGGAAAUAGUAUGACAGAAAAUCAAGUACAAGCUGUGACUUUGAUUAAAACUAUUUUAGCAUGGACACACCUGUUCUGUGACCAUGAGCAAAUUACUCAGAUUUAGUUAACAUUGGAUUAUAACCUUAAUUUCUAGGGUUGUUGUGGUGAUUAAAUAGGAUCAUGUGUGGGUAUGCCUGAGUGGCUCAGUGGUUGAGCAUCUGCCUUUGGCUCAGGUCGUGAUCCCCAAGUCCUGGGAUCAAGUCCCCUAUCAGGCUUCCCUUAGGGAGCCGGCUUCUCCCUCUGCCUGUGUCUCUGCCUCUCUGUCUCUGUGUCUCUCGUGAAUAAGUAAAUACAAUCUUAAAAAAAAUGUAUAGCCUACAGUAUUUGCUCAAUAAAUGAUAGAUUAUCAAAGUUUAGACAUUUUAAAGCUAUUUAUAUAUUGUCCUCAGCCUUAUUGGCUUAUCACCAUCACCUUUGGAACUUGAAGGAUCUGAACAGUUUCUCAGAUCUCCUGCAUCUGAAUCCCCAAGUGCGUGGCCCAGGCAUCUUGACUUUUUAAGGGCUGCUCAGGUCAAAACCAUUUUGUCGGUGGUGCUAUUUAUAGGCUAGCCCACCAGCACUACAUUUUCUGAUGAGACAGAGCUCUGUUGGCAAAAGGAGGAACUGGAAAUGAUUCUGAUCCCAGGAGUUUAAUUUUCUUUUUGUACUGGGGUUGAGAGCUAGUCAUGAUAAAGAAACCAGGUUUCUUGGAAAUAUGGCUGAUUCUAGGGCUGGGGCAGGGAAUGUACAACAUGAGCCUGAAGCAUCUGGAAAUAGCAAGAAAGUAAGGAAAUGCUCAAAAACAAAGCAAUGGGGCCAUGUAGAAGAGACACAAGAGCCAAACUGGAGGAGCUCUCAAUGGCCAAAACUGGAACAAUUUGAAUGAUAAUAUAAAUGUUGGAUUUUAAUCUAAAGUAUAAAAUAAAUAUCCUGGAAUCUAUAUUGAUAUUAAAGAAUAAUUGAAUGAUUAAUAGGGAGAAGAAGUAAAUGUACCAUACAGAAGAAUCCCAGAUAAUUGAUGUAGAUAUCGUCCCUUAAGGAGAGGGAGCUUAACUCUCCACUCUUUGAGUGUAGGCUGUGCUUAGUGAUUAAAUAUAGUGGGGUGUCCUGAAUGGGUCCUGGAGCAGGAAAGGGACAUUAGAAAAAAAUGUUGAUUCCUUAGUUGUGACAAGUGUACCAUAAGAAGGUAAGAUUAAAAUAGAGGGAACUGGGUCUGUGUGACUUUUCUGUAAGUCUAAAACAGUACUAAAGUAAAAUGUUUAUUUAAAAGUCACCUGGUAAUGAGAAUAAAUGUGUUCAUCAUAUAAAGCUGGAGGCUAUAAGAAACUAUAGCUGCCAUGAGAAAAAUCAGGCCAUGGUCAACUAAAUUUUAGCAUCAGUUUGAUGUAAAAUACAAACUAUUUUUUAUUAUUGUUUUAUCAGAAGUUCUACCUUUUUAGAAACACAAUCCAAUUCAAUGUUUAUUUUACAGGAAUUGGUUAGUUUUAUCAAUAAAUACUUGUUAACUUUUACCAUACAUUGCUCAGUUUCUGGCCUCACGCCUUCAUCUUGGGUUGAUUUUUCUUCUUCUUCUUUCUUCUUCUUCUUCGAUUUUAUUUAUUCACGAGAGACACAGAGAGAGGCAGAGACAUAGAGGGAGAAGCAGGCUCCCUGUGGGGAACCUGAUGUGGGACUCGAACCCAGGACUCCAGGAUCAUGCCCUGAGCCAAGGCAGACACUCAACCACUGAGCCACCCAGGCACACAGUGAGAGAGAGAGGCAGAGACAUAGGCAGAGGGAGAAGCAGGCUCCGUGCACCGGGAGCCCGACGUGGGAUUCGAUCCCGGAUCUCCAGGAUCGCGCCCUGGGCCAAAGGCAGGCGCCAAACCACUGCGCCACCCAGGGAUCCCUCAUUUAGGAAAUAUUACUUCGUCAUUGUCAUCUGGCAUCUAGUCUGCUUGCUUGGAAAGAAGCACACUUGGGCCGCUUUGAGAGCUGACCUCCAGUUCGUUUGACUGAUGGAAGACAUCAUCUGGAGACAGAGGGACCAGAAAGGCAGGAAAUGGAGGAAUAGCUUCCUUUUCCUGACCUUCUUCAGGGAAGCAUGUCUGGCCACACCCUCUACCCAUUGAGCAUUUGAGGACAGAGUAAUAAUGCAGACUCUCUUGGCAAGCCUCUACUUGUACUUUCUGGAACUGUUCUUCCCAACCAUUCAGAUAGACAAAUCUGAAUACUGGCAAUUUCUCAGCUGAAGUGUGUAAGGAAAUCAAAUAGUCAACAUAGUAUCUAGCCUGGAACCUAGGUCUUAGCAAGUUUGAGAGGUUGAAAAAUGAUUGCCCCAAAAGAUAUCUAUGUCCAAUUCCUAGAAUCUGCGAAUGUUACCUGAAAAAAGGAUCUUUUCUGAUGUGAUUCAGGACCAGGAGAUGAGAUCAUCCUGGAUUAUCGAGAUAUGCCCUACAUCCUAUGCUGAGGGUCCUCAUAAGAGAGGUAGAGGGAGGUUUGAGACAGAUGCACAGACGAGAAGACACCCACGGGGAGAAGGCAAUGUGAAGACAGAGGCAAGAUUGGGGCAAUGUGGUCACAAGCUAAGGAAUACCAUGAACUGCUCCAGCAACCAGAAAGAAGCAAGGGAAGUCAUGGACCCGAUUCUAUCUGCAGAAGGAACCAACCCUAGCAAAUGAAUAUGGUAGAAAUUCAAUGAAUGCUGGCUCACUUCAUGAUCAGGACAGAACAAGAAGCUCUGGAAAAGAAGCAUUUGGAAUCAUUUUCAAGUGGAUGUCAAGCCCUUCUAUGGAGAGUCUAAAGAUUUUUCUAGAGCAGAAUAAACACUCAAACACAGAGAAAAACAAACCAGGGGUGCCAGUAGUCCUUCUCUGGGCUUUCUUUCCCAGGGAGACCAGGAUGGGCUUCAGAGGCAUGACCCCCAACAAAAUACCUAUGUGUGCCCACCAGAGGGGCUAAAGGCUGAGUAUGCCAAGUGAUGGCAAGGAUGUGGAAUCAGCAGAACUCUCACACACUGCUAUGGGUACAGAAAAUGGAAAACAGUAUUUUCUUCAAAUGGCAAACAUACACCUAACAUGUUACCUAGCCAUGCCACGCCUAGGCAUUUACCCAAGAGAAAUGAAAACAUAUGUCCACACAAAGACUUGCACUGAAUUUUCCUAGCAGCUUCAUUGUAACACCCACCCCCACAUAGAAACAGAUCCAAAGGGAUCCCUGGGUGGCGCAGCGGUUUGGCGCCUGCCUUUGGCCCAGGGCGCGAUCCUGGAGACCCGGGAUCGAAUCCCACAUCGGGCUCCCGGUGCAUGGAGCCUGCUUCUCCCUCUGCCUGUGUCUCUGCCUCUCUCUCUCUCUCUGUAUGA